GCCUGAAGCCAUACUAUCUUGUACUAUGAUCCCUUCUGAUCUCAGAAGCUAAGCAAGGUCAAGCUGGGCAAUUUCUUUGACAGAAGACCUCCCAUGGAACACUUAUUGAAUGGAUACUAUAGGAA
rnacentral:rRNA from 1 species